CUAAAAACAGCGCUGAACUUCCUGCAGUUUCUCUCACUUCCUGUUGAGUUGAAUUCAAACCAGGAAGAGAAAAAAACGAGGAUUUUUCUCGAUUUUUCAGCCGGCGCUCGGUGGGAGCAGCUUGAUCCCGACUCCCACAGAAAGGUUAACUCUGGAGAAGUCACAGAAUGAAACACAAACAGAGCUGCAGGUGCACUGGGUUUGCUCCCAGAAUGACCUCUUAAAGAGACGGGCCCUGAGGGGCCGCAGGGCCCGCAGCGUCCGCAGGGACUUGAUGGCUGCCAGGUCGGAGUAGCCCAACGUGUUGGCCACCAGACUGACCAAGGAAACCUGGAGGAUGAGGAGGGAAAGGCAGGAGGAAGAGGAAGAGACACAGAAGAGAGGGAGGAGUUAGCGGCUCUUCUAACGCCGAGAGGAGGAGGAGGAGGAGAGUGUGAGGUCCUGCUGAGGAGGAAGGUCAGCUGUGACCUGAAACAGAGUGCAGGUCACUGCGGCGGUCCAGGGGGCGCUGCAGGCCAGAAACACAGCAGGUUAUUUCUGAUUCACGGGAGGAAAGAAGUCCUGGAAGCAGCGGCGCUCAGGGAGAGGUCUGAACGGACGAGUCUGGGAUCCAAACAGAGGAAACGUUUCAGGUUCUGAUCCACCUGAGACCUUUCCUCUGACGGAACCGCACAGAACCAGGCGGGUCAGCCGGUUCUUACCCUGAUACCAGCGAAGCGGGACGCGGCCCGGAGAGGACGGAGAGCCCUGAACGUCCUGAGAACCCGCAGGGUGGUGACCUGGCUGACCGGGAAGAACUGGGCCAGGUUCAUAGAUGAAGAACUGAAUUCAACACAAUGAAGCUAAAAACUGAAGAGAUGCUGCCGUCCGGAGUUCCACAGGGAUGAUUUCUACGAUUCCUUCUUAUUUGCAUAAAAACCAUUUAAAAACCUGCAGAGCCUCCAGAGCCAACAGGAGGAUGGAGACAAACAUUAACAUCCUGUUUAAAGGUUUUGAAGCCACAACGCUGCAGGAACGACGUUCACCACAAACAGAACUUCAAAAUAAAGUACUGGACCUUCUGACCACUAAACCCAGUAACAGUAACUUUACUGAAUGAAGAAACUUUUUUAACCAAUGAGACGCAGAACCAGAGUUUAGGAUGAAGUGAGACCUCUUGUUUGUGCAAAAUCUUUGUUGCACUGUUUUCAGUAUUAAUAAUUCAUUUCAUAAAUGUUAUAACAGAGUAUAUUUUAUUAGUUUAAUUUUAGUAUUUAAUUUGAUUUUAGUUGUAUUUUUGACAAUUUAUAAAUUAUUAUUAUUAAUUAUUUACUCAUGCAGCCUUUUAUUAACAAAUAUUCUUACUUUGAAAUAUGAAAUGGUAAUAAUCUCAGUCUUAAUAAUUCAUUAUUAAAUCAUUUUGACUUGGAGGCGUCGACAUCUGGAGGUUCGAACACAAAGUUAUUGAUUAGCUCUCAUGUUUGGGUUUUACAUAAACUAAUAAAAUGUCCAGAACCGAGUCUGGUCCAUCUGUGUUUGGUCGUUUUCUGCCCCCUGCUGGUGAAGAGUGAAGCUUCAUCAGGUGAAGUCAGGAGAGUCAGUCACUAAUGAAGCGGCGCUUCGAUCCCGUGUUGCUUCCACAUGUUGGAUCUGAGCGACUCGAUGGCAGCAGGUCGACGGAGCCGAAUCAGAACCACACGACACGUGGUGUCGAUUCUGAAGACGUCCGGGAGAGAGAGAGAGAGAGAGAGAGAGAGAGAGAGAGAGAGAAGGAGAGAGAGAGAGAG